AGCGAACGCUGGCGGUAGGCCUAACACAUGCAAGUCGAACGGCAGCACCGUAAUAGCUUGCUGUUACGGGGGGCGGGUGGGGGACGGGUGAGGUAUAUAACGGAACUUACAUUUUCGUGUGGGAUAACGUAGGGAAACUUACGCUAAUACAGCAUACGACCUACGGGUGAAAGCAGGGGAUCUUCUGACCGUGCGCGAUUGAAUGAGCCGCUGUCGGAUUAGCUAGUUGGCGGGGUAAAGGCCCACCAAGGCGACGAUCGGUAGCUGGUCUGAGAGGAUGGUAGGCCACACUGGAAGUGAGACAGGGUCCAUACGCCUACGGGAGGAAGCAGUGGCGAAUAUUAGACAAUGGGGGCAAGCCUGACCCAGCGAUAGGGCGUGGGUGGAGACGGCGCUCGGGUUGUAAAGCCCUUUUGUUGGGAGAAAAAAGCAGCCGGUUAAUACGCCGCUGUACUGACGGUACACAAAGAAUAAGCACCGGCUAACUUCGUG
rnacentral:rRNA from 1 species